rnacentral:rRNA from 1 species
GGCUCAGAACGAACGCUGGCGGCAGGCCUAACACAUGCAAGUCGAACGGUAACAAGAAGAAGCUUGCUUCUUUGCUGACGAGUGGCGGACGGGUGAGUAAUGUCUGGGAAACUGCCUGAUGGAGGGGGAUAACUACUGGAAACGGUAGCUAAUACCGCAUAACGUCGCAAGACCAAAAAGGGGGACCUUCGGGCCUCUUGCCAUCGGAUGUGCCCAGAUGGGAUUAGCUAGUAGGUGGGGUAACGGCUCACCUAGGCGACGAUCCCUAGCUGGUCUGAGAGGAUGACCAGCCACACUGGAACUGAGACACGGUCCAGACUCCUACGGGAGGCAGCAGUGGGA